rnacentral:misc_RNA from 1 species
CUUACUUAAAUUUAAAGCAAGAUUGAAUUACCUUACCUUUAUUCUUAAAUAGCUUGAACCAUUUUAAGCAAUAGAGAAAAUAUAAAUCCAACUAAUAUAAUAUUCCCAUAAAAGUGAUCUAUCUAUCUAUGCUUAGCCCAAUAAUCUGAAAAGCUGCAGGUAACUGGUUUGACAGUAGAGUGACUCUGAAAAUCAACCCGUGUUCUUAUAAAAAAUCAGGUUUUUGCGACGGUAAGUGAAUUGGUCUUAUCAUCAGUUUUGGCGCAAACAAAAACCAGCUUGCUUGCUUGACAUUUUGGCACAUUCCUGCCAGACGCCUGCCCACAUUCGUCAGCCCGAAGGACAAGUCAGCUGGCAAGGAUAUGGAGCGGGGCAGCAGUCUGGAUGCCGAUAAGACCUGUCCCCCACCGAACACCACUGAUAAGAGCCAACAUUCACCACAGCACAUGGGUCCUUACACCAACUAGUAAUGCAGAAAGCCACCACACUCCAAUCACCAACGAAAGCCGGCUCUCUCAUGUGCGACUGCGUUGCCCUCUCUCGGGUUAUCCUUCGGCUCUGAUAAGACCCUGCUUCGGGCGAUGGCCGACGACCAGUUCGGGUCACCUGCUGGCGUAGCUCGUUGCCCAAAGUCAGUUUACUCGGGAGCGCGGCGGAGUUCGUUUAGCAGCGGGCCAACGGUGCGGAUACUUGACUUGGGCCAGAGCUGCCAACUGAAUGUGUGAGGUGCCAGUGACGACGAGGACGAGUGCUAAUCUCGACAAUCGGGCUGUGUUAUUUAGCAGGCAAGCGGCAGUCCUACCGCAGAUCAAAAGUUUCGAAACACCCAAAAGUGCCAAGCAAAGACGGCUCAAACAGAAAUUACAAAAAUAAAUAAAAAUACAUAUAUGAAACCCAGUCAGAGCUCAUGUGUGCGCGUGCAUGUCCAAAUGCCCAUAAACAAUUCAUCAAAAAGCGAGCAAGCAAACGAAAACAAACAACAGAUAUUGUUUACAAUUGCCUAAAAGGGCAAGAGACAACCAAAUAAAAUAGUUUGCAAAUUCAUUCCAUGACAAGUGUCUAAAACAAUAAGCACAAAACGUUUUAUAACUCCCUCUCUCUCUAUCACAAAAUACAAACAAUGAACGGCAACGGCAGCAACACCAAGUGCAGCAGCAGCAACA